CGAACUAACGCUGGCGGCGUGCCUAACACAUGCAAGUCGUACGAGAAAGCCGGCUUCGGCUGGUGAGUAAAGUGGCGAACGGGUGAGUAACACGUGAGCAACCUGCCCCAGACUCUGGGAUAACAGUUGGAAACAGCUGCUAAUACCGGAUACGAGACGGAGAGGCAUCUCUACCGUCUGGAAAGUUUUUCGGUCUGGGAUGGACUCGCGGCCUAUCAGCUAGUUGGUGAGGUAAUGGCUCACCAAGGCGACGACGGGUAGCCGGCCUGAGAGGGCGACCGGCCACACUGGGACUGAGACACGGCCCAGACUCCUACGGGAGGCAGCAGUGGGGAAUAUUGCACAAUGGGCGAAAGCCUGAUGCAGCGACGCCGCGUGAGGGAUGACGGCCUUCGGGUUGUAAACCUCUUUCAGCAGGGAAGAAGCGAAAGUGACGGUACCUGCAGAAGAAGCACCGGCUAACUACGUG
rnacentral:rRNA from 1 species